rnacentral:rRNA from 1 species
UUAAAUUGAAGAGUUUGAUCAUGGCUCAGAUUGAACGCUGGCGGCAGGCCUAACACAUGCAAGUCGAACGGUAACAGGAAGCAGCUUGCUGCUUUGCUGACGAGUGGCGGACGGGUGAGUAAUGUCUGGGAAACUGCCUGAUGGAGGGGGAUAACGUACUGGAAACGGUGGACUAAGUACCGCAUAACGUCGCAAGACCAAAGAGGGGGACCUUCGGGCCUCUUGCCAU